GUAGGUGGCAAGCGUUGUCCGGAAUUAUUGGGCGUAAAGCGCGCGCAGGCGGUCCUUUAAGUCUGAUGUGAAAGCCCACGGGCUCAACCGUGAGGGUCAUUGGAAACUGGGGGACUUGAGUGCAGAAGAGGAAAGCGGAAUUCCAAGUGUAGCGGUGAAAUGCGUAGAGAUUUGGAGGAACACCAGUGGCGAAGGCGGCUUUCUGGUCUGUAACUGACGCUGAGGCGCGAAAGCGUGGGGAGCAAACAGGAUUAGAUACCCUGGUAGUCCACGCCGUAAACGAUGAGUGCUAAGUGUUAGGGGGUUUCCGCCCCUUAGUGCUGCAGCUAACGCAUUAAGCACUCCGCCUGGGGAGUACGGCCGCAAAGGCUG
rnacentral:rRNA from 1 species